ensembl:lincRNA Gm15406 predicted gene 15406
AGACUGCACUAGCUACUUCAGUCUGGGCCAGGCCAGGCCAGGCUGGGCCCUGGAGAUCUCUGAAGUAAAACCCCAAGAAGGCAGGCUUGCUCUGUCUGUCUGUCUGUCUGCCUGUCUGCCUGCCUGUCUGCCUGUCUGUCUGUCUCUGGUUGUUACUCCUGCUAUCGAGGCUCCUGCAGUAACAGCUAGCAGGCUGUGGAAUGAAUUCACCACUGAGAACUUCUUGGCCUGGGCUGGAGAAAGGGUCGCCUCAAAGGAAGAGACAGGUGCUAAAAGAAACAGUGCGGUGGUAAGGAGAGCAGACACUUGCUAACUUCCAGCUGUGGAGGGGACACCUCUGAUUGCUUUCAUUCUCCUAACAGCUCAGAGAGUCUGGGGUUA